AUCAAUUUACCAUGGUUGUGUAAACAAUGAAGCAAACAUGUAGAUACUUGGAAACAUGCCAUACACGAUACCGAAGCACAUAUAUAUGGUACUAAAUGGAAGGAAGCACAUACAUAAGCAGUACGGAAAUUAAUACAUAGGCUCUGAAGCAUUGCGUUUGUGACAAUGAAGCACAAUACUAUAUGUAGAGCCAGUGACGUCGAGAAAUUGGAGGCGUCGGAGGAACGAGAGAUGAUGCCAAGACGAAUAAAAGGCAUUGUGUCGUUUAGGAGCACCAUUGAAGCACCAGCGCCAAAGAAGAGGACAACACGAUCGCAAUAUGAUUGUGCCGCCUGUCUAUCACAUUACAUGUCCCCAUUCCCAUUGACGUCCUUGUCAUCACCGCCACCAGCCAC
rnacentral:lncRNA from 1 species